rnacentral:pre_miRNA from 1 species
AGUGGAAUUGCUGGGUUAUGUGGUAACUCUAUAUUUAAGCUUUUGAAGAACUGUCAAACUGUUUUCCAAAGUGACUGUACCAUUUUAUAUUCCCAUCCACAGU